rnacentral:rRNA from 1 species
AGAGAGGUAGCUUGCUACUGAUCUUAGCGGCGGACGGGUGAGUAAUGCUUAGGAAUCUGCCUAUUAGUGGGGGACAACAUUUCGAAAGGAAUGCUAAUACCGCAUACGUCCUACGGGAGAAAGCAGGGGAUCUUCGGACCUUGCGCUAAUAGAUGAGCCUAAGUCGGAUUAGCUAGUUGGUGGGGUAAAGGCCUACCAAGGCGACGAUCUGUAGCGGGUCUGAGAGGAUGAUCCGCCACACUGGGACUGAGACACGGCCCAGACUCCUACGGGAGGCAGCAGUGGGGAAUAUUGGACAAUGGGCGCAAGCCUGAUCCAGCCAUGCCGCGUGUGUGAAGAAGCCUUAUGGUUGUAAAGCACUUUAAGCGAGGAGGAGGCUACUUUAGAUAAUACCUAGAGAUAGUGGACGUUACUCGCAGAAUAAGCACCGGCUAACUCUGUGCCAGCAGCCGCGGUAAUACAGAGGGUGCAAGCGUUAAUCGGAUUUACUGGGCGUAAAGCGCGCGUASGCGGCUAAUUAAGUCAAAUGUGAAAUCCCCGAGCUUAACUUUGGAAUUGCAUUCGAUACUGGGUAGCUACAGUGUGGGAGA